rnacentral:lncRNA from 1 species
UCAUUUUACUAAUCGUACUCUCGACCUUUCUCUUCUUCGGGCAUUUCGCAGAACUAUUCAUCCACUUGUUUCAGUUGAUCCUGCUGUCUCAUUAUUAAGAGAAGAAAUAGAAGAGGCUUCUGAGGUCAGGCCUUCUUCUUCUGUAAUGUACUCACCUUUAUUUUAACUUUUCUUUCAAUACUUAUUUUCUUUUUCUGCUGUCAAUUCCUGUUUCUUCGUCGGUCUCAACUUCAGAAAAAAGACCGAUUGAGACCGUUCAAUCUACUCCUCCGCCGCCUCCAAAGCGGCGUAAGUCAAUUGCUAAAAGGUCCUAUUCUACACAUGCUGUCACGCCCCGCCCCGAAACCACUACCAAUUUGGCACGGUUUGGCCGCGGCGGCGGGCCGCCGAACGGACAGCACCUUCCCUAUCCGCCCAAGGCUCAACAACAGGAAUGUGUACAAGAAUUUAUAUAGAAAAUUAAAUUCUAAACAUACACAUUCACAAGGGCACAACCAGUGCCAACAAUACAAAGAGCAAGCAAUCCACAAGAUAAUGCAUGUGAAAUAAAGAGAGUACCUUACUAACUAUUACAAUAGUUUCAUCAUUAUCAUUUACAUCAUUUUCUUUAAAUGAUUACAUUUUUCAUCCAAAAUACAUAGCUCUCCCAAAUCCUCACCUACAAUGGAUCUCUCUCAAUACAUAGGUGACUAAUGCAAAAGGAAAGCUACUGUACUACCACGGUCUCACUGGUCGAGCGCGAUACCCUUGCCGCGGUCCUCUCUCUGCAGCCCUG